UAGCACAGCUGUUUCUAGGGUCUGGAAAAACUCUAAGGACCCCCAGGAGGAUACACACCAGAUUGGGUCUGGGCUCACACCACCCUGCAUCCCCAGAGCCUCCCUGGACGCUGUUUGCAAGGUCCUCACCGCCUGGAAGUCCAGGAGCCAUUUUUAGGGAACAGCAUUCAAACUCAACACGGCAAGUUCCCUCUUUCCUGCAGGGGAGGACCAGAAGGGAGCCGGAGAUGGGGGAGAAGGGUGGGAGGUGGAUGGUUUGGAAAAGGGAUGGAGACCCAGACAGAGCGAAGCCAGCCAGCCAGGGUGAGGGAACAAGCUGCUGUGCUGCCCAGGAGAGGCCUGGCCUCAGGCUGCCACCCUCAGGGAGGUAGACGCGGCUGUGACAGCAGCACAGAAUGACGGCCAAGGGCGACAGCAGGGGCUGGCCAUGCUGUAAAGGGGCUUCCUGGGAGGGUCCAGCCUCAGGAAUCAACGGGAAAUCCUGAGCCGAGAAUUCUGAAGAUCUCCUCCCUCCCUGAAGCUGUGGGCUGGGCCGUCGGAAAACUUUCAGUUUUGUUUCCUUGCCUGCAAGAAACGAAACUCAACCGAAAGCCUGCAGAGAGCAGAACAUGGAAGGAGACUUCUCGGUGUGCAGGAACUGUAAAAGACAUGUAGUCUCUGCCAACUUCACCCUCCAUGAGGCUUACUGCCUGCGGUUCCUGGUCCUGUGUCCGGAGUGUGAGGAGCCUGUCCCCAAGGAAACCACGGAGGAGCACUGCAAGGUGGAGCACCAGCAGGCUUAUGGAUCUGGCAUAGGCAAGAGGUUCUGGUUUCAGGAAAGACUGGCUGUUCUCUUGAGAUCUGUAAAGAGAGGAUGUGAAAAAGGAAGGUCCUGGAAGGCAGUCAGAUGGAGCCCUGUUUCCCGCCUUUCCAUGUCCAUUCCUCCUGGGGCCCCUGAUCUGUCUCUCUGGAGAUACUCAAGCUCAGGCAGCCGUUGCCAACUCAGACUGGUCUGAGAAACACUUCUUGAACACUGGGCUGGGUGCUAGAGAGACACUGAGGUAGCCACAUCGGAUCCCUGCCCUCUGGGAGUUCACAGACCCAAACCCGGAACACCGUGAGCCAAAGUGGAUGUAGGGCAGGCUCUGGGUGUUGGGUGGACCCACAUCUGGUGUGUGUGUGUGUGUGUGUGUGUGUGUGUGUUUAGGUUGGGUGUACGAUGUGUCAGCAGAGCAUGCAGAAGUCCUCGCUGGAGUUUCAUAAGGUAAGAGCCCCAUGUGAUUUCUCCUUUACAGCCAAAUAGACCAACCUGAGAAAAGGAGAGGAAGGGGAAACGGGAGGCCAGUAAUAGAGAUUUCCACCUGACCACUCUUUUCACCCCAUUAGGCUUGGAGAGCAGUGGAGAACUAGCCCACCGCAUAACACAGGUCCUCCUGUCCCCCAGAUACUGGUCAGAAGGGUUUUCCAUGGUCCAUGAGUCCAUCAGAGCUCAGAUUCCCCGAAGGCAAUCCCGCAUUCUGGCCCUUCUCAUCUGCUUUCUCGUAUUGGCCCUAAUUCCCUAGGGAGAUGGGCACAAGUCCUUGAUCUGCCUACAGUCAAAGAGGCCAGUGAUCGGCCAGGCGCAGUGGCACACACCUGUAAUCCCAGCACUUUGGGAGGCCAAGGCGAGCGGAUCACGAGGUCAGGAGUUCGAGACCAGCCUGAC
rnacentral:lncRNA from 1 species